GCAGGCGCAUGGUUUUCCUCGUUGGAAUUUUGCGAUCCCGAUAUUGCAGUCCCUAGCCAACUGUGCUAAUAGUAGGGGAACGGCUGCUGGAGCCCAUCGCAUACUAACUCGGUUGACAGUGUUGAAAAGGUGAUAUGAUCUUAAGUCGAGCAUAAGUUGGUGGUGAACUUGCAGCUUGUCGCUCGCCCAGAACUAAACCCGUGGAGUGAUUCUCAACCAUCUGAUUGGAGGCUGUUCCUCAUGACGUGCAUGGAACUGUCCCAUUAGUACAGAUUCGUAUAAGAUCUCUUGAUGGGGUUUUGCUCAGACCUCAUUUUAAACAGACUGGGAGAAAGCAUUUUCAAGAUAAAGAAUGAGAUAUGAUAUAUCUACAGCACUUUUUUUUUGGAAACCUUCACGAUAGGAUAUAUCAUUCUUAACCAGCUAGCUAGAGAACUCUGACCUUGUUUCAACAAUCAGAAAAUAAUACGGAACUAGUACCUGUGAAUCCCACCAGCUAAUUUGUCAAGGCAUCACUUAUAUACGAUGGGUUUCCGUCGAUGCGGCACUGGAGAACUAGCGAAAAUUGUUACUUCCAGUGGAGCCCCGUAGACUGGUGGCCUGCAUGUCAGUUAAAUGAGAGAGAGACAGAUUAUUUUCAUUUUUAGAGACAGUGUGGACAACAAUCUUCUGAAGAUUUCCUCUUGGGGGAAAUCUGGAGGAGACAAUGAAGCACAAAAACAGGG
rnacentral:sRNA from 1 species